GAUGAACGCUGGCGGCGUGCCUAAUACAUGCAAGUCGAGCGAACGGACGAGAAGCUUGCUUCUCUGAUGUUAGCGGCGGACGGGUGAGUAAAACGUGGAUAACCUACCUAUAAGACUGGGAUAACUUCGGGAAACCGGAGCUAAUACCGGAUGAUAUUUUGAACCGCAUGGUUCAAAAGUGAAAGACGGUCUUGCUGUCACUUAUAGAUGGAUCCGCGCUGCAUUAGCUAGUUGGUAAGGUAACGGCUUACCAAGGCAACGAUGCAUAGCCGACCUGAGAGGGUGACCGGCCACACUGGAACUGAGACACGGUCCAGACUCCUACGGGAGGCAGCAGUAGGGAAUCUUCCGCAAUGGGCGAAAGCCUGACGGAGCAACGCCGCGUGAGUGAUGAAGGUCUUCGGAUCGUAAAACUCUGUUAUUAGGGAAGAACAUAUGUGUAAGUAACUGUGCACAUCUUGACGGUACCUAAUCAGAAAGCCACGGCUAACUACGUG
rnacentral:rRNA from 1 species